CUUUUUCAUUUAUGUCCAAAAUUACAACGAAGCUGAUCCAGUAACGCAUCAGGAGUUGGACCUCACAAGGAUUACAACUAGAGAAUUGACUACAAAUUUGAGAAAAUACUUACAAAGAUGAAAGCCUGGACAAGGAGUACAAUGGGCCUCCUUACAUAAAGAGCUUUCCAAACAGCUAUUGUAAGGUCAAUGCACAUGACAGUUUUACUUGUGUUAUUUCUAUAUCUCUUAGUUUGACCCUGUAAAACUUAAGAAACUCCGCCCAAGUUUCAAGGAGAAUGGUGGUACUGUUACAGCUGGAAAUGCUUCUAGUAUAAGUGAUGGAGCUGCUGCAUUAGUCUUGGUGAGUGGGCAGAAGGCUCAAGAGCUUGGCCUGCAAGUCCUUGCAAGGAUCAAAGGAUAUGCAGAUGCAGCUCAAGCAAGCUAUAGUAACAGCUAUCUCAUUUAAGAGUAGAGUACGCUUCUAGAUAUAUCAUCA